UACGUAGGGUGCGAGCGUUGUCCGGAAUUACUGGGCGUAAAGAGCUCGUAGGUGGUUUGUCGCGUUGUUCGUGAAAACCGGGGGCUUAACCCUCGGCGUGCGGGCGAUACGGGCAGACUUGAGUACUGCAGGGGAGACUGGAAUUCCUGGUGUAGCGGUGGAAUGCGCAGAUAUCAGGAGGAACACCGGUGGCGAAGGCGGGUCUCUGGGCCGGUACUGACGCUGAGGAGCGAAAGCGUGGGUAGCAAACAGG
rnacentral:rRNA from 1 species